UACGGAGGGGGCGAGCGUUGUCCGGAGUUACUGGGCGUAAAGCGUGCGCAGGCGGUUAUGCAAGACAGAUGUGAAAUCCCCGGGCUCAACCUGGGAACUGCAUUUGUGACUGCAUGGCUAGAGUACGGUAGAGGGGGAUGGAAUUCCGCGUGUAGCAGUGAAAUGCGUAGAUAUGCGGAGGAACACCGAUGGCGAAGGCAAUCCCCUGGACCUGUACUGACGCUCAUGCACGAAAGCGUGGGGAGCAAACAGG
rnacentral:rRNA from 1 species